UCAAAUCUCAAGCCUAGCUUGGAAUUGGGCUUUCAUCUCCUGCCAUUGCGGCUAGUUGAGAUGUGCCUAAAAAGAAAUGGCGAUGCCCUCAAUGGACUCUAGCGUAGCAGACUGAUUUGCGCUUGGAGGGCUGCUGUAGGGUUUUGCUAAUUAAUAUAAAAAUCAA
rnacentral:misc_RNA from 1 species